rnacentral:rRNA from 1 species
AACGUAGGACGCAAGCAUUAUCCGGAAUUACUGGGCGUAAAGAGCACGCAGGCGGUCUGAUAAGUCUAUUAUGAAAGCUCUAGGCUAAACUUGGAGAGGCUAGUAGAUACUGUCGGACUUGAGUGGAGAAGAGGGGUAUAGAAUUCCGCGUGUAGUGGUGAAAUGCGUAGAUAUGCGGAGGAAUACCAGUGGCGAAGGCGAUACUCUGGUCUCUAACUGACGCUGAGGUGCGAAAGCAUGGGUAGCGAACGGG